AGCGAACGCUGGCGGCAGGCCUAACACAUGCAAGUCGAACGGACCCUUCGGGGUUAGUGGCGGACGGGUGAGUAACACGUGGGAACGUGCCUUUAGGUUCGGAAUAGCUCCUGGAAACGGGUGGUAAUGCCGAAUGUGCCCUUCGGGGGAAAGAUUUAUCGCCUUUAGAGCGGCCCGCGUCUGAUUAGCUAGUUGGUGAGGUAAUGGCUCACCAAGGCGACGAUCAGUAGCUGGUCUGAGAGGAUGACCAGUCACAUUGGGACUGAGACACGGCCCAAACUCCUACGGGAGGCAGCAGUGGGGAAUCUUGCGCAAUGGGCGAAAGCCUGACGCAGCCAUGCCGCGUGGAUGAUGAAGGUCUUAGGAUUGUAAAAUCCUUUGACCGGUGAAGAUAAUGACUGUAGCCGGAGAAGAAGCCCCGGCUAACUUCGUGCCAGCAGCCGCAGUAACAC
rnacentral:rRNA from 1 species